GAGUUUGAUCGUGGCUCAGAUUGAACGCUGGCGGCAUGCCUUACACAUGCAAGUCGAACGGCAGCGAUGAUCUAGCUUGCUAGAUUGAUGGCGAGUGGCGAACGGGUGAGUAAUACAUCGGAACGUGCCCUGUAGUGGGGAUAACUAGUCGAAAGAUUAGCUAAUACCGCAUACGACCUGAGGGUGAAAGUGGGGGACCGCAAGGCCUCAUGCUAUAGGAGCGGCCGAUGUCUGAUUAGCUAGUUGGUGGGGUAAAGGCCCGACCAAGGCGACGAGUCAGUAGCUGGUCUGAGAGGACGAUCAGCCACACUGGGACUGAGACACGGCCCAGACUCCUACGGGAGGCAGCAGUGGGGAAUUUUGGACAAUGGGCGAAAGCCUGAUCCAGCAAUGCCGCGUGUGUGAAGAAGGCCUCGGUGUAAG
rnacentral:rRNA from 1 species